CCGUGCUAGGUGGGGAUGUAGCGGUUCCCUGUCACUCGCAAUCCGCUAUAGCGAGACUGAAUUCCAUGUCGAGGGAUAUGAUUGGUGUGGUCUGCCUCACGUAAGUAGCGUUGACGUUUGAGUCCUGCGCAACAGAUACCCAUGAACCAGGUCAGGUCCUAAGGAAGCGACCUUAAGUGGUGCUCUCUGUGUGUUGCAGGGGUGCUUGGACUGAGCAGGUCUGCGUGAGUAACGCAUGUUGAACAUAUUUCAGAAUAUGGUGCGCGG
rnacentral:SRP_RNA from 1 species